rnacentral:rRNA from 1 species
ACUCCUACGGGAGGCAGCAGUGGGAAUAUUGCACAAUGGGGGAAAGCCCUCGAUGCAGCCAUGCCGCGUGUGUGAAGAAGGCCUUCGGGUUGUAAGCACUUUCAGUAGGGAGGAAGGUAGUGUAGUUAACACCUGCACUAUUUGACGUUACCUACAGAAGAAGCACCGCUAACUCCGUGCCAGCAGCCGCGGUAAUACGGAGGGUGCGAGCGUUAAUCGGAAUUACUGGGCGUAAAGCGCAUGCAGGCGGCCUGUUAAGUCAGAUGUGAAAGCCCGGGGCUUAACCUCGGAAUUGCAUUUGAAACUGGCAGGCUAGAGUCUUGUAGAGGGGGUGAGAAUUAUCAGGUGUAGCGGUGAAAGUGCGUAGAGAUCUGAAGGAAUA